CAUGCAGUCGGACGGCAGCACAGAGAAGCUUGCUUCUUGGGUGGCGAGUGGCGAACGGGUGAGUAAUAUAUCGGAACGUACCGAGUAAUGGGGGAUAACUAAUCGAAAGAUUAGCUAAUACCGCAUAUUCUCUGAGGAGGAAAGCAGGGGACCUUCGGGCCUUGCGUUAUUCGAGCGGCCGAUAUCUGAUUAGCUAGUUGGUGGGGUAAAGGCCUACCAAGGCGACGAUCAGUAGCGGGUCUGAGAGGAUGAUCCGCCACACUGGGACUGAGACACGGCCCAGACUCCUACGGGAGGCAGCAGUGGGGAAUUUUGGACAAUGGGCGCAAGCCUGAUCCAGCCAUGCCGCGUGUCUGAAGAAGGCCUUCGGGUUGUAAAGGACUUUUGUCAGGGAAGAAAAGGCUGUUGCUAAUACCGACAGCUGAUGACGGUACCUGAAGAAUAAGCACCGGCUAACUACGUGCCAGCAGCCGCGGUAAUACGUAGGGUGCGAGCGUUAAUCGGAAUUACUGGGCGUAAAGCGAGCGCAGACGGUUACUUAAGCAGGAUGUGAAAUCCCCGGGCUCAACCUGGGAACUGCGUUCUGAACUGGGUGACUAGAGUGUGUCAGAGGGAGGUAGAAUUCCACGUGUAGCAGUGAAAUGCGUAGAGAUGUGGAGGAAUACCGAUGGCGAAGGCAGCCUCCUGGGAUAACACUGACGUUCAUGCUCGAAAGCGUGGGUAGCAAACAGGAUUAGAUACCCUGGUAGUCCACGCCCUAAACGAUGUCAAUUAGCUGUUGGGCAACUUGAUUGCUUAGUAGCGUAGCUAACGCGUGAAAUUGACCGCCUGGGGAGUACGGUCGCAAGAUUAAAACUCAAAGGAAUUGACGGGGACCCGCACAAGCGGUGGAUGAAGUUGGAUUAAUUCGAUGCAACGCGAAGAACCUUACCUGGUCUUGACAUGUACGGAAUCCUCCAGAGAACGGAGGAGUGCCUUCGGGAACCGUAACACAGGUGCUGCAUGGCUGUCGUCAGCUCGUGUCGUGAGAUGUUUGGGUUAAGUCCCGCAACGAGCGCAACCCUUGUCAUUAGUUGCCAUCAUUUAGUUGGGCACUCUAAUGAGACUGCCGGUGGGAUGCGCUGCUUUACCAUGCAGUCGGACGGCAGCACAGAGAAGCUUGCUUCUUGGGUGGCGAGUGGCGAACGGGUGAGUAAUAUAUCGGAACGUACCGAGUAAUGGGGGAUAACUAAUCGAAAGAUUAGCUAAUACCGCAUAUUCUCUGAGGAGGAAAGCAGGGGACCUUCGGGCCUUGCGUUAUUCGAGCGGCCGAUAUCUGAUUAGCUAGUUGGUGGGGUAAAGGCCUACCAAGGCGACG
rnacentral:rRNA from 1 species